CCUAGUAACUGCGAGUGAAGCGGGAAAAGCUCAAAUUUAAAAUCUGGUGGUCCUUGUGGCCGUCCGAGUUGUAAUCUAGAGAAGCGUUAUCCGCGCCGGACCGUGUACAAGUCUCCUGGAACGGAGCGUCAUAGAGGGUGAGAAUCCCGUCUUUGACACGGACUACCGGGGCUUUGUGAUGCGCUCUCAAAGAGUCGAGUUGUUUGGGAAUGCAGCUCUAAAUGGGUGGUAAAUUCCAUCUAAAGCUAAAUAUUGGCGAGAGACCGAUAGCGAACAAGUACCGUGAGGGAAAGAUGAAAAGAACUUUGGAAAGAGAGUUAAACAGUACGUGAAAUUGUUGAAAGGGAAACGCUUGAAGUCAGUCGCGUUGGCCGGGGAUCAACCUUGCUCUUUUGCUUGGCGUACUUUCCGGUCGACGGGUCAGCAUCAAUUUUGACCGGUGGAUAAAGGUCAGGGGAAUGUGGCAUCUUCGGAUGUGUUAUAGCCCUUGGUCGCAUGCAUCGAUUGGGAUUGAGGAACUCAGCACGCCGCAAGGCCGGGUUUUUAACCACGUACGUGCUUAGGAUGCUGGCAUAAUGGCUUUAAUCGACCCGUCUUGAAACACGGACCAAGGAGUCUAACAUGCCUGCGAGUGUUUGGGUGGAAAACCCGGACGCGUAAUGAAAGUGAAAGUUGAGAUCCCUGUCGCGGGGAGCAUCGACGCCCGGACCAGACCUUUUGUGACGGUCCCGCGGUAGAGCAUGUAUGUUGGGACCCGAAAGAUGGUGAACUAUGCCUGAAUAGGGUGAAGCCAGAGGAAACUCUGGUGGAGGCUCGUAGCGAUUCUGACGUGCAAAUCGAUCGUCGAAUUUGGGUAUAGGG
rnacentral:rRNA from 1 species